rnacentral:rRNA from 1 species
GACGGAGGAUGCAAGUGUUAUCCGGAAUCACUGGGCGUAAAGCGUCUGUAGGUGGUUCGAAAAAUCCACUGUUAAAAAUUGAAGCUUAACUUCAAAGAUGCCGUGGAAACUUUCAAACUAGAGUGUGGUAGGGGUAGAGGGAAUUUCCAGUGGAGCGGUGAAAUGCGUAGAUAUCAGGAGGAACACCGGUGGCGAAGGCGGGUCUCUGGGCAACAACUGACGCUGAGGAGCGAAAGCGUGGGGAGCGAACAGG